GGAUGUGAGGGCAAUCUGGCUGUGACACUCACCCCAUUGAUCACCAGGGUUGAUUCUGCUCGGCUGAUCUGGCUGGCUCGGCGGGCAUUCCCCUCCUCCCUUACCACUCCAUGUGCGUUCCUCCUGAAGCUGCGUGCUCGGUGGAAGAGGACGACCAUCCUUGAUAGAUGAGGACUGGUCUUCGGUCAAGGGUAUACAAAUAGCUGUGGUCCCCCACUGGAACCUCCAAACAAGCUCUCAAGAGUUAAGAAAAAUGAUAUAGUUUAGAAUUCACAUCUACAUAAAGAAUAGCAUUAAAGAAGGAAUAAAGGCAAAAUAUAAUUCUUUUAUUU
rnacentral:snRNA from 1 species